rfam:TPA: Bos taurus chromosome 12, whole genome shotgun sequence.
UCCCAAGUGGCUUAGAUGGUCAAGAAUCUGUCUGCAAUGCAGGGGACCCAGGUCCAAUUCCUGGCUUGGGAA